rnacentral:rRNA from 1 species
UACGGGGGGAGCAAGCGUUGUUCGGAUUUACUGGGCGUAAAGGGCUCGUAGGCGGCCAACUAAGUCAGACGUGAAAUCCCCUCGGCUUAACCGGGGAACUGCGUCCGAUACUGGAAGGCUUGAAUCCGGGAGAGGGAUGCGGAAUUCCAGGUGUAGCGGUGAAAUGCGUAGAUAUCUGGAGGAACACCGGUGGCGAAGGCGGCAUCCUGGACCGGCAUUGACGCUGAGGCGCGAAAGCCAGGGGAGCAAACGGG